UACAGAGGUCUCAAGCGUUGUUCGGAUUCAUUGGGCGUAAAGAGCGCGCAGGCGGUCGUUCAAGUCGCGUGUGAAAGCCCCCGGCUCAACUGGGGAGGGUCACGCGAUACUGAUCGACUCGAAGGCAGGAGGGGGAAGUGGAAUUCCUGGUGUAGCGGUGGAAUGCGCAGAUAUCAGGAGGAACACCGGUGGCGAAGGCGGGUCUCUGGGCAGUAACUGACGCUGAGGAGCGAAAGCGUGGGGAGCGAACAGG
rnacentral:rRNA from 1 species